UGGCCACCUCACUUCCUCCGCCCAGCCCAGCCCAGCCCAGCCCGACUCCUCCCAGGCACACUUGGGCCAUUCUUCCUCUUUGCGUCCUGGAUGUGCGUCCAGCCCGCAGCAGCACGGGGCGUGGUAGAGCUCGCUGUCUUUGGUGCAGAUCGUGUUUUACUCCUUCCCAGGGCCCAUCUUGGGCGGGGCACAUAGCAGGUGUGUAGGCUCAUGGCACUGGGCGCACAUCAAACGCCUAGCAGCAGCUGACCUCAGGGGGCGGGGCCAAGGUCAAGGAGUCUCGCGAGGCCUGAAGGAGCGGGCCUUCUCUUCUUUCUACACAAAGGUGAGAGGUCACUUCCGCGUUUCCUUGCUUGCUGCUCUGCAUCCCGGUUUUCCUUGGGAUUUUCUUUAUCUCGGAAGGGAGCGUUCCCAAGACAAAAGGGAUCCCAAAGCUGCCUGGGGACGGCUUCUGCCCCGCGCCCAGGCCUCCUAGGCACGGUGCACCGCAUCCGUUUCCCGCCCAAGCUACAAAUCCUCAGCAUGAACUUUGUCAGAAUCUGCAUCAAAAACACUGGCUUGCCUGGGGUCUCCUCUCUUUCUUGGUUGCUGUAAGCCCACCUGUGUGAUGGAGUUUCUGCUUAGAAACAUCUGCUCUCCAGUAUGAAACAGACUCAGCAGUUCGCGCAUCAUCACAAGAUCUCAGAGCUUGCCCUGGGGGCAACGUUUGGUUCAGACCCGUAGCCCCUGAUGGUGUGCUAUGGAGUACCAUAUCAAAGGCAAGUAAAACAGAAGCCUUAAGCCAGAUGAAAACCCAGGUAAUUAGCAAAUUAGUCAAGUUUUCCAAAGAUCAAGCCAUCAGAAUCUCCAAGAUUGCUUGUUAAAAAAUACAGAUAUUGGGCAAUGUUGUGAUGGAGCAGGUUAAGCCACCAGCUGUGACACCAGUAUCCCAUGAGAACACUGGUUCCGUUCCUGAUGCCUCAGCUACGAUCCAGCUCCCUGCUAAUACGCCUGGGAAAGCAGCGGAUGAUGGCCCAAGUGCCUGGGCUGCUGAUACCCAUAAGGUACCUGAAUGUAGUUCCAGGCUUCUGACUUGGGCCUGGUCUGGCCCCAGCCACUGUGGCCAUCUGGAGAGUGAACUAAUGAAUGGAAGACCUAUCUCUCUUUUCUAUAUGUAUGUUUAUCUGUGUCUCCCUCUCUCUCUGUAACUCUGUCUUUCAAAUAAAUCUUAAAACACGCACAGAGAUACCUGCGUCUUUCUCAGAGCUGCUGAAUCAGGAUUACUGAGCUUGAGAUCUGCCACAUUCCACAUCAGCAAGUUGUCCCAUGAUUCUGAUGGAUGAUAGCUUAAAAACCAAUGUAAGAACUAUAAGGAUCACAGGGGGAAGACAUCCACUUAAACAGAUUAAAAUUGAUGUGGAGAGGCCCCAAGAUGGUGGAAUGGAGAGGGAGCUUACUGCUCUAGUCUAGGGGAAGAUAGUUAAAAAAAAAAAAAAAACUGGAGAGAGUGCAAUUUCAGGGAAGAGGUAGAGAGAAAACAGCAGAGGAAACUCCAUGCAAAUUAGAGGGGCACUGUGGAUCUAUGUGGAGGGUGUAGAUGCACACAACUCAUGACCCCAGCAGCUGAGAGCCUCAGCACCAGCUUUGGACAGUGAGCCUAAGCCACUGGUGAUAAAGCUUUGGGUAGAGUCUGGCAUGAGUCUGGCUUGGAGCCCUGUGGUGGACAGUAGAACUGCCAAUCUUGAGGAAAAGGGGGGGCACAUUUCUUUCUCCCCUACUACCCAGCACCAAUGUCCUGUUACUAGCCAAGAGUGGGUGGGUUUGUUUUGGACAAACGUAACAGCUGUGCCAGUUCAUGUCCAUGUGCUCAGCAACCAGCUGAGAGGAGACGCCUAAGUGUGGCUGGGAGAAUUGACAGGGGGCUGGGUGUUCAUGACUGUGGGAGCCUUGGGUGCUGGAACUGUGAAAACACUGUCACUGUAUGUGAGGGUGCAGGCUGUGGCAGGGUCUUUGGGCAGUCACUGUAGGUGGCUGCACAUGCUCAGGGCUCCCUGAUUCCCUGGUGAGGGUCAUUGCUGCAGGAUCCUGUGCUCACACCGAGGACUGCAUGGAUCCUCUGUGGUUCCUGUGUCAGUGUGGAUGAAUAUUGUAUCCACUGGGGCUAGUGCCCAGGUAUUAGUCUCCUUGGAGGAGAGAACAUAAGCAUGAGACUACACUAACAGAGCUGAAUAAACUUCCUCUGUGAUUAAAGAGAGAGGAGAUUCACCACGCCCAAUUUGGAAGUCAUCUUGGACUUUCCUCACCCAGAAGCAUCGAACAUAUCUCCGUGGCACUUGCCUCAGGGUGUUCACUAGAAGAGCAGACACUCCACUAAUCCACAGAGGCAUAGUCCAAAGGUAAAAUCCAUCUCAGGGGGAAAAAUAUAAACCAAAAAGUACCACAACAAAUGCCUAAAAAUAAACACAGCAAUUCAAGAAACAAGAAUAAGGAAGAAAGCAUGACUCCCCAGAAGGAACACAACAACAUUUUAAUACUAGAAUGUGAAAAUGAAGAGAUCAAAGAAAUGCCAAAAAUGGAAUUCAAAAAAUUGAUCAUAGGAUUACUUAGAACUAAUCAGAAGCAAAUGCAUGAACUAAUGAAAUCCAUGCAUGAUGUGAAAGAAAAUUUUUCUCAAGAAAUUGAGAUUUUAAAUAGAAAUCAAAAUGAAAUACUGGAAUUGAAGAAUUCAAUAGAACAAAUAAGAAAUGCAAUGGAAAGCCUUAACAACAGAAUCGGUGAGGUAGAAGAAAGAAUAUCUGAGUUAGAAGACAAAUCUCUGGAAGUUUUACAAUCAGACUGAAAACAAAGAAGAAAUUAGAAAACUAAAAAACAGUGUUGGAGAUCUAUGGGAUACUAUCAGAUGACCCAACAUGUGGAUCUUAGGAAUUUCUGAAGGUGUGGAAAGAGAGAAUGGAUUAGAAGGCAUUUUUAGUGAAAUAAUUACAGAAAACUUCCCCAAUUUGGAGAAAGAAAGAGAUGUCCAAGUACAGGAAACACAUAGAACUCCUAAUAGACAUGACACUAUAUAGUCAAACUCUCCACACACUGUCUUUUGUUGUACUUUUUUUUGCUGUCCUGUUAUAUCUCGAUCUUAAUUCUCAGUUUGUAUCUGACACUGGAUCAUAUCAUAAUGGACUUACCCUCUUUCCCCACAGGACAGCAGAAUCAGGGUAGCUGGCCCAGGACAUCUGGGCAUUUUAGCUGCUUUGGACAAUGCACAGAGUAGAGCAAUGGGCCCAGGUGAAUCUAUAGGCUGGUCCCUUGGUUCCCUAUAGCACCACUUGAGCAUGGCCUAUGCCCAUUGUUAAGAACUGGAUGGGAGCGGCUGGUGCCGCGGCUCACUAGGCUAAUCCUCCAUCUUGCGGCACCGGCACACCAGGUUCUAGUCCCGGUCAGGGCGCCAGAUUCUGUUCUGGUUGCCCCUCUUCCAGGCCAGCUCUCUGCUGUGGCCAGGGAGUGCAGUGGAGGUUGGCCCAAGUGCUUGGGCCCUGCACCCCAUGGGAGACCAGGAGAAGCACCUGGCUCCUGGCUUCGGAUCAGCGUGGUGCUCCGGCCGCAGAGCGCCGGCCGCGGCGGCCAUUGGAGGGUGAACCAAUAGCAAAGGAAGACCUUUCUCUCUGUCUCUCUCUCACUGUCCACUCUGCCUGUCAAAAAAAAAAAAAAAAAAGAAGAAGAAGAA